CCUACGGGAGGCAGCAGUGGGGAAUAUUGCACAAUGGGGGGAACCCUGAUGCAGCGACGCCGCGUGGGUGAAGGCGUAUUUCGGUAUGUAACGCCCUAUCAGCAGGGAAGAACAAUGACGGUACCUGACUAAGAAGCACCGGCUAAAUACGUGCCCGCAGCCGCGGUAAUACGUAUGGUGCAAGCGGUAUCCGGAUUUACUGGGUGUAAAGGGAGCGCAGGCGGCUCGUUAAGCCUGGUGGUAAAGCCCGCGGCCCAACCGCGGGACUGCAUUGGGACCUGUCGCGCUGGAGUGCCGGAGAGGUAGGCGGAAUUCCUAGGGUAGCGGUGAAAUGCGUAGAUAUUAGGAGGAACACCAGUGGCGAAGGCGGCCUACGGGACGGUGACUGACGCUGAGGCUCGAAAGCGUGGGGAGCAAACAGGAUUAGAUACCCGUGUAGUC
rnacentral:rRNA from 1 species